AGUGAACGCUGGCGGUAGGCCUAACACAUGCAAGUCGAACGGCAGCACCGUACGAGUUUGCUCUUACGGGUUGCGAAUCGCGGACGGGAGAGGAAUACAUCGGAACCUACUUUUUCGUGGAGGAUCACGUAGGGAAACUUACGCUCAUACCGCAUACGAUCUUCGGGUGAGAGCAGGGGAUAUUCGCACCUUGCGCGGUUGAAUGCGCGGCUGUCGAAUUAGCUAGUUGGCGGGGUACUGGCCAACCCAGUGGCCGAUCCGUAGCUGGUCUGAGAGGAUGGUCGGCCACCCUAGAGCGUAGACACGGUCCAUACGCCUGCGAGAGGCAGCAGUGGCGAAUGUUGGACAAUGGGCGCAAGCCUGAUCCAGUCAGACCGCGUGGGUGAAGGAGGCCUUCGGGUUGUAAAGCCCUUUUUUUGGGUAAGAAAAGCAGCAGGUUGAGACGCCGCUGUUCUGACGGUACCGAAAAAAUAAGCACCGGCUAACUACGUG
rnacentral:rRNA from 1 species